GUUAGGAAUAUUGGACAAUGGGCGAAAGCCUGAUCCAGCCAUGCCGCGUGAACGAUGAAGGCCUUCGGGUUGUAAAGUUCUUUAGCCGAUGAUUAUAAUGACUGUAGUCGGAAAAUAAGCCCCGGCUAACUUCGUGCCAGCAGCCGCGGUAAUACGAAGGGGGCGAGCGUUAUUCGGAAUCACUGGGCGUAAAGCGUGUGUAGGCGGUUUUGUAAGUUAGGAGUGAAAGCCCAGGGCUCAACCUUGGAAUUGCUCUUAAAACUGCAAGGCUCGAAUCUCGGAGAGGAUAGCGGAAUUUCCAGUGUAGCAGUGAAAUGCGUAGAUAUUGGAAGGAACACCAGUGGCGUAAGCGGCUAUCUGGACGAGUAUUGACGCUGAGGCACGAAAGCGUGGGGAUCAAACAGGAUUAGAUACCCUGGUAGUCC
rnacentral:rRNA from 1 species